AGUGAACGCUGGCGGUAGGCCUAACACAUGCAAGCCGAACGGCAGCACAGAGGAGCUUGCUCCUUGGGUGGCGAGUGGCGGACGGGUGAGGAAUACAUCGGAAUCUACUCUGUCGUGGGGGAUAACGUAGGGAAACUUACGCUAAUACCGCAUACGACCUAUGGGUGAAAGCAGGGGACCUUCGGGCCUUGCGCGAUUGAAUGAGCCGAUGUCGGAGUAGCUAGUUGGCGGGGUAAAGGCCCACCAAGGCGACGAUCCGUAGCUGGUCUGAGAGGAUGAUCAGCCAAGCUGGAACUGAGACACGGUCGAGACGCCUACGGGAGACAGGAGUGGGGAAUAGUGGACAAUGGGCGCAAGCCUGAUCCAGCCAUACCGGGUGAGUGAAGAAGGCCUGCGGGUUGUAAAGCCCUUUUGUUGGGAAAGAAAUCCAGCUGGCUAAUACCCGGUUGGGAUGACGGUACCCAAAGAAUAAGCACCGGCUAACUUCGUGCCAGCCGCCGCCGUAA
rnacentral:rRNA from 1 species